UAGGCCAAUAGCUCAAUUGGUAGAGUUCCGGUCUCCAAAACCGGCGGUUGAGGGUUCAAGUCCUUCUUGGCCUGU
rnacentral:tRNA from 1 species